rnacentral:lncRNA from 12 species
GGAAGAUGCAACAUCUUUCCAAUUUGCUUUUCAGAUGUGAGCUCUCUCUUGUGCCACUGUGGUGGCACUUGCAAGCAUGUGCAAGUGAGAAGCCCUACAAAUGUUGGCUCCGCUUGUAGAGUUGCUUUGCUUGUUGUGUUUUGGUUCCACCGCCCCACCCCCACGGAUUGAGGAAAUGAUCGCAUUCUUGAUAGUGCUAAACACAUCUCAUUUUGCAGUGUUGGCAGGGCGUGUCAUGUGAUGGGUGGGAGCAUUAGCUAGUCUUAGUAAAGCCGAAAUACAUGUACCAAGUAUGUACUUAACAGCCUUAGCAGAUGUUUAAAUGUUCAAUUAAUGCCUGUUUAACCUCUUUACACUAAAUAAAGUACUCUUUGC